ACCCGUAUCCAUCCCGAACACGGCAGUUAAGCUCUCCAGCGCCGAUGGUACUGCAUGGCAGACUGUGUGGGAGAGCAGGACGCUGCCGAAU
rnacentral:rRNA from 1 species